rnacentral:rRNA from 1 species
UACGUAGGGUGCAAGCGUUGUCCGGAAUUAUUGGGCGUAAAGAGCUCGUAGGCGGUCUGUCGCGUCGGCUGUGAAAUCCCGAGGCUCAACCUCGGGUCUGCAGUCGAUACGGGCAAACUAGAGUAUUGCAGGGGAGACUGGAAUUCCUGGUGUAGCGGUGAAAUGCGCAGAUAUCAGGAGGAACACCGGUGGCGAAGGCGGUUCUCUGGGCAUUACCUGACGCUGAGGAGCGAAAGUGUGGGGAGCGAACAGG